GAUGAACGCUAGCUACAGGCUUAACACAUGCAAGUCGAGGGGUAGCAGGGUAGCAAUACCGCUGACGACCGGCGCACGGGUGAGUAACACGUAUCCAACCUUCCCAUAACUCGGGGAUAGCCUUUCGAAAGAAAGAUUAAUACCCGAUAGUACUUUUUCAAGGCAUCUUGAGAAAGUUAAAGAUUUAUUGGUUAUGGAUGGGGAUGCGUUCCAUUAGAUAGUUGGUGAGGUAACGGCUCACCAAGUCUUCGAUGGAUAGGGGUUCUGAGAGGGAGGUCCCCCACAUUGGUACUGAGACACGGACCAAACUCCUACGGGAGGCAGCAGUGAGGAAUAUUGGUCAAUGGGCGAGAGCCUGAACCAGCCAAGUAGCGUGAAGGAUGAAGGUCCUAUGGAUUGUGAACUUCUUUUAUAGUAGAAUAAAGUGACCUACGUGUAGGUUUUUGUAUGUAUACUAUGAAUAAGGAUCGGCUAACUCCGUGCCAGCCGCCGCGGUAA
rnacentral:rRNA from 1 species